UGUAAGCGUAUACCAAAGUUGUUGCAGUUAAAACGCUCGUAGUCGGAAUUUGGCAGUUCCGGAUGUGUGCACGUCGUGUGCGCACUUCGCGGGGAUUGCUUUUGUGGUCUUGCGUAGGAUGAGGCACUUUUAUUAGUGAACGUCCUCACGCAACCACUUUUUACUGUGAGAAAAUCAGAGUGCUCAAAGCAGGCAUUUGCCGUGAAUGUAUUAGCAUGGAAUAAUAGAAUAGGACUUGGUUCUAUUUUGUUGGUUUGUUGGGACUGAGUAAUGAUUAAGAGGGACAGUUGGGGGCAUUUGUAUUUCGGUGCUAGAGGUGAAAUUCUUAGAUUACCGAAAGACAAACUGCUGCGAAAGCGUCUGCCAAGGAUGCUUUCAUUGA
rnacentral:rRNA from 1 species